rnacentral:rRNA from 1 species
GACGAACGCUGGCGGCGGGCUUAACACAUGCAAGUCGAACGAAGUGGCGAACGGGUGAGUAACGCGUAAGCAACCUGCCCUUCAGAGGGGGACAACAGUUGGAAACGACUGCUAUUACCGCAGACGGAAUGAGGGGAUUGUGUGUGAGUAGCUAGUCGGAGGGGUAACGGCCCACCAAGGCGAGGAUCAGUAGCCGGUCUGAGAGUAUGAACGGCCAAAUUGGGACUGAGACACGGCCCAGACUCCUACGGGAGGCAGCAGUGGGGAAUCGUCCGCAAUGGACGAAAGUCUGACGGAGCAACGCCGCGUGAGGGAUGACGGCCUUCGGGUUGUAAAGCUCUGUUAAUCGGGACGCGGUACCGGAAUAGAAAGCCACGGCUAACUACGUGCCAGCCGCCGCGGUAAUAC